rnacentral:lncRNA from 1 species
UACUUUAUUUCUUUAAAAGGAAUGAUUUGGUUACAAAGCCGUAUUACAAAGGUGAGCAUCACACCAACGUCACCACCGAGGAAAGUUGUGACCAAAAGACACUACACAGCAUAAACUCGUUGCAGUCUUUGACACAACCUCACACGGUAAAAAGUGACACACUGGAAUAAGCUCCAAGCAGCAACGGCAAAGAGCCCAUGGCAAGCACCAAGGUUAAUGUGCACACCAACGUCACCACCAAGGAAAGUUGUGACCAAAAGACACUACACAGCACAAACUCGCUGCAGUCUUUGACAUAACCUCACACGGUAAAAGUGACACACUGGAACAAGCUCCAAGCAGUAGGACGACAAACAGUGCAACAAGGACGGUGGGCAGUGCAAUGAUGCGCAACGAAUAAUGCAACGACAGUGGUGCAGCAAGCACGGCAAAAAGGCAACUACAAGACGGUCCUUCAAAGCACACUACAGUAGCAAAGAAACCAAAAUGCUACGCAACCCCGCAGUUGUUACGCAAGCAGUUUCUUGCACUACACGGCGACGUCACCAUCAAAGGAAGAAAUGUGACCAAAAGGCAUUACACA